rnacentral:lncRNA from 1 species
CCCAGAGAGCUGUUUAAUUGGGCUGUGCUUUGGGGUCACGCUCUCCCGGCUCCUUCCCAUAGCGGCCAUGUCUCUCUGUCCUGUACUCUACUCAGACAUGGUGUCUUUCCUCUCCUCUACCUCUCCCAACAUGACAGAUCUCUCCUCAUUCUUUCUCCUGGUCCCAACACUAGGCUAAACCCUCUACAUUCUCCUGUGUUCCCAUCCUUGGAAUGGGUGUGCUCCUCCCUGGGGAAGACAUUUUUCCUCACUCCCAGCAUUCCUGAGUUGCCUAUAGUUCUUUGUGCAGGGUUGAGGCCUUCUGCUUCCCCUCUCCUUUCCCUGGUCAACUUUGGCACCUGUCUGUUGUCCUUUUUCAGCUCAUGUUUUGUUAUUCAUAUUGGUGACACUGUAUGGGUGAGGCUCCUAACUUUGCUGCAAGACACAAUCUCACAGCAAACCCCCUUGUCUUCUGACUCUUACAGUCUUGAUUUGAAAAGAAAAAAAGUGAA